rnacentral:rRNA from 1 species
AUUGAACGCUGGCGGCAGGCCUAACACAUGCAAGUCGAACGAGUGGCGGACGGGUGAGUAAUGUCUGGGAAACUGCCUGAUGGAGGGGGAUAACUACUGGAAACGGUAGCUAAUACCGCAUACCAUCGGAUGUGCCCUGAUGGGAUUAGCUUGUUGGGGAGGUAACGGCUCACAAAGGCGACGAUCCCUAGCUGGUCUGAGAGGAUGACCAGCCACACUGGAACUGAGACACGGGCCAGACUCCUACGGGAGGCAGCAGUGGGGAGUAUUGCACAAUGGGCGCAAGCCUGAUGCAGCCAUGCCGCGUGUAUGAAGAAGGCCUUCGGGUUGUAAAGUACUUUCAGCGGGGAGGCGUUACCCGCAGAGGAAGCACCGGCUAACUCCGUGCCAGCAGCCGCGGUAAUUC